rnacentral:RNase_P_RNA from 2 species
GGAGUAUCACAGGCAGCCGCUGCCCGUCAGGGGAGAGGAAAGUCCGGGCUCCGCAGGGCGGAGCGCUGGGUAACGCCCAGCAGGUGUGAACCUGGGAAAGUGCCACAGAAACAUACCGCCGGUUCAGGCCGGUAAGGGUGAAAAGGUGAGGUAAGAGCUCACCAGCCGUCGGGUGACCGUCGGGCUAGGCAAACCCCGCUCGGAGCAAGACCGAAUAGGGGGGGAUGAAGCGGCCCGCUGACCCCCGGGUACGGUCGCUUGAGGCUGCGCGAGAGCGCAGUCCUAGAUAAAUGGCUGUCGCAUACAGGACCCGGCUUACGGGAUACUCCCUCU